rnacentral:lncRNA from 1 species
AUUUCUUCAUUUGGAAAACAUCAAUAUUAAAUUGGUGCACGUACUGUUACUAGUUAAUUCUUCAAGAAACAUAUUUCAAGGAUAUCAAGAAUAGGAUAGAGAGGGGCACUGCUGCAUGGCUUAAGUCCACCAUCUGCCUGAUGGAUCUGAGCACCAUGACAAACUGCUAUCCUUCCUGAUUAGGAUGUGCAAACAGAGAGCAGACAGAUUUUGCCAAGCUGGGAAAAAUGAGGUUGAUUUUCUGCUCCAGCCUCACCUAUGCUCAAGAUCCAAGAACAAAGGCACAGAACUUUUCAUUGAUACACCUCAACUCAACCUGGACAUUUUUAAGGAAGACAAAAGUGAAACAUCAGUCUGCACUGUCUUAAACCAAUGGGAAAAGGGUGUAUGA